UACGUAGGGUGCGAGCGUUAAUCGGAAUUACUGGGCGUAAAGGGUGCGCAGGCGGCGUCGCAAGUCAGGCGUGAAAUCCCCGGGCUCAACCUGGGAACUGCAUUGGUGACUGCAAGGCUUGAGUGUGUCAGAGGGAGGUGGAAUUCCGCGUGUAGCAGUGAAAUGCGUAGAUAUGCGGAGGAACACCGAUGGCGAAGGCAGCCUCCUGGGAUAACACUGACGCUCAUGCACGAAAGCGUGGGGAGCAAACAGG
rnacentral:rRNA from 1 species